GGAAUCAACGCUGGCGGCGUGCCUAAUACAUGCAAGUCGAACGCGAAAGUCCCGCAAGGGGCAAGUAGAGUGGCAAACGGGUGAGUAACGCGUGGGCGACCUACCUUCGAGUGGGGGAUAACCUUCCGAAAGGAGGGCUAAUACCGCAUGACAUACCGUGUUUGGAUACACGGACAUCAAAGCCGGGGAUCGCAAGACCUGGCGCUUGAAGAGGGGCCUACGUCCGAUUAGCUAGUUGGUGAGGUAACGGCUCACCAAGGCUUCGAUCGGUA
rnacentral:rRNA from 1 species